rnacentral:rRNA from 1 species
AUUGAACGCUGGCGGCAUGCCUUACACAUGCAAGUCGAACGGCAGCACGGGUGCUUGCACCUGGUGGCGAGUGGCGAACGGGUGAGUAAUACAUCGGAACGUACCUUAUCGUGGGGGAUAACGCAGCGAAAGCUGUACUAAUACCGCAUACGCCCUGAGGGGGAAAGCGGGGGAUCGAAAGACCUCGCGCGAUUAGAGCGGCCGAUGCCUGAUUAGCUUGUUGGUGGGGUAAAAGCCCACCAAGGCGACGAUCAGUAGCUGGUCUGAGAGGACGAUCAGCCACACUGGGACUGAGACACGGCCCAGACUCCUACGGGAGGCAGCAGUGGGGAAUUUUGGACAAUGGGGGCAACCCUGAUCCAGCAAUGCCGCGUGAGUGAAGAAGGCCUUCGGGUUGUAAAGCUCUUUUGUCAGGGAAGAAACACCGGCUCUAACACAGUCCGGGAAUGACGGUACCUGAUGAAUAAGCACCGGCUAACUACGUGCCAGCCGCCGCAGUAA